rnacentral:rRNA from 1 species
UACGUAGGGUGCGAGCGUUGUCCGGAAUUAUUGGGCGUAAAGAGCUCGUAGGCGGCUUGUCGCGUCGGAUGUGAAAGCCCCGGGGCUUAACCCCGGGUCUGCAUUCGAUACGGGCAGGCUAGAGUUCGGUAGGGGAGAUCGGAAUUCCUGGUGUAGCGGUGAAAUGCGCAGAUAUCAGGAGGAACACCGGUGGCGAAGGCGGAUCUCUGGGCCGAUACUGACGCUGAGGCGCGACAGCGUGGGGAGCAAACAGG